GGAAAGCUAUCGUUUGAAAAAGGGAAUAAAAGGGGAUGGGGUUUCUAGAAAACCCCCUCAUAUUUGCUGCUUUCCCUUCUAGCCGAAAGGAAUGAAAAGGUUUAUCCCUUUUAGCCCUUAAAUUGUCAAAAAGAAAAUUGAAGAGGAGGAAAUCAGCUUUCUUUUCCUUUAUUUGUGAAGAUUAGAACAAGUGAGGAUCUUUCUUUUGUCUCCAUUUAAGAUAAGGAGGAGAAGGCCAAGGUGACUACGGAACAAGUUGACGAACACCCUGGGAGUUGAAUAUCAAGAAAUUGUGUUGAGGUGUGUAGAGUCGACUAGUUGAUUUUCAAGUGGCAGCUCUAGUGUGGGCUAGUAGAAGGGAGUCCAGACGUAUACUUAUUUUGGGUGAGCUGCCAAAGUGUUUGUAUAGUUAGUCUCUGUCUGUAAAAGAUCCUUUUGUUGCGUAGUAGACUAAAAUGAUGUCGACUUCGGUGGGUUGGAGAUUCUACUUACCUGGGCUAUGAAAACUAUGUAUAUGUAAGUACUUGUCUUUUGGCUUGUAUAGUUUUGCUCAUGUACACUUUCCUCAAAUGGCCUGAAAAUGUUUUCUUGUUAGAAGCCCUGAAGGUCUUUUGUGAACUCAUUAUAAUCUAUAAGGUUUUAUGAAUGGCUCUUGAAGAACCACUAUGAA